rnacentral:rRNA from 1 species
GCCCUACCCACGGUCCUUGUUUUUAAGGCCAUUUUUUAUACUGUGAAACUGCGAAUGGCUCAUUAAAUCAGUUAUCGUUUAUUUGAUAGUACCUUACUACAUGGAUACCUGUGGUAAUUCUAGAGCUAAUACAUGCUACAAACCCCGACUUCAGGAAGGGGUGUAUUUAUUAGAUAAAAAACCAACGCCCUUCGGGGCUCCUUGGUGAAUCAUAAUAACUUAACGAAUCGCAUGGCCUUGCGCCGGCGAUGGUUCAUUCAAAUUUCUGCCCUAUCAACUUUCGAUGGUAGGAUAGUGGCCUACCAUGGUGGCAACGGGUAACGGGGAAUUAGGGUUCGAUUCCGGAGAGGGAGCCUGAGAAACGGCUACCACAUCCAAGGAAGGCAGCAGGCGCGCAAAUUACCCAAUCCCGAUACGGGGAGGUAGUGACAAUAAAUACUGAUACGGGGCUCUUUCGGGUCUCGUAAUUGGAAUGAGAACAAUUUAAAUCCCUUAACGAGGAACAAUUGGAGGGCAAGUCUGGUGCCAGCAGCCGCGGUAAUUCCAGCUCCAAUAGCGUAUAUUAAAGUUGUUGCAGUUAAAAAGCUCGUAGUUGAACCUUGGGCCUGGCUGGCCGGUCCGCCUCACCGCGAGUACUGGUCCGGCUGGGCCUUUCCUUCUGGGGAACCUCAUGGCCUUCACUGGCUGUGGGGGGAACCAGGACUUUUACUGUGAAAAAAUUAGAGUGUUCAAAGCAAGCCUUUGCUCGAAUACAUUAGCAUGGAAUAAUAGAAUAGGACGUGCGGGUUCUAUUUUGUUGGGUUUCUAGG